CAAAUGAGCUGUUCACAAACACACACUCACAAACACUCUCUCUCCUCCCCUCUCCCUCUUUAAAGCAACAUGUGGCCUAGGGUUUCAAAGUAGGGAAUAUUAGUAGCAAGUUUUGCUUCCCAUCUCCCUCUCUCCUUGAAGGCCGAAGCUUUGUGCCGAGAGAGAGGAUCAUGGGUUGAUGUUAUUCUUUGUGGGUUGGAAUAUAUAUGUGUGUGUGUUAGUGUGUGUGAACGUGUAUAGAAUUAGCAGAAAGAAAAAUGGAGUGGUGUUUGAGGGGGAUGUUGUCUGGCUCGACGCAUUCAAGAUUUUGAAGGCAUCGGACCAGGCUUCAUUCCUCUCAAACCAUCUUCUUCAUGUAUAUAUAUAGUGCGUGUGUGUGUGUGUGAGAGAGAGAUCAGUUUAGAUUAUAUGUGGUGUGUGGUGUGUGGUGUGUGGUGUGGUGUGUAGAUCUGAUUGAGGGUAAUGUUGUCUGGGUCGAGAUCAUCUAUAUAAGGUGAUCGAUCUCGUCUCUUUGAAAGAUUUCUUGACGUUUUGGGGUUCUGUGAAAAAAUUUAGACUUAAACCCUAGAUCAUAAGGGAUCAGGAGCUUAAUUCUCCUCAACAAGCGUCUCUCUCUCUCUCUCUCUCUAUAUAUAUAUAUAUAUGUAUGUAUAUAUACCAAACACAUAUAUAUACAUACAUCUAAACCUAGGUCAUGUUAAAAAUAAUCCAUUUGCAGGGUUUGUUUGCAGAACUUUGCAUAUAUUGUUAGAUAAUACCAACAAACUACAUCACUAGGUGCCAUUGACUUUGAAAGUAUUUAAGAGACACUGAAGCUGAUUGAAAAAUGUGGAGGCUUUUCUGUUUCUCUGCUACAUGACAUCUGGAGGACUGAAACAUGUAAAAAGAGAUUCCAUGCAUGCACUCAUCCAGGACACAGAGAGAAGAAGUUUCAACCCACUCGCAUGCACGUACUGCACGUGCAAACACAUUUUUUUUUUUUUUUUUUUUUAA